UCUGCCGCUGCUAUUUCUCAACAAGACCGCUGAAAUGGUUUUUGAAAGCAGGACUUUCGUGCUCAUAUUUCCAUUAAUUUGCCACGUGGUUGGUACUGGAAUAAUACCGAAGGGUUGCCAUGUAAGGCCGGACAUGGAAAAAUGCGGUUCGACUGUGCCGCGUUGGUUCUUCAACGCCACCAGCGAAACUUGCCAACCUAUUUUGUGGAGGCAUUGCGGAUACAAGGGAAACCUGUUUAAAAGAUCUAGUGAAUGUGAGGAAGGAUGCGGUCGGUUUUACCAGCCGGUUAAUGAUCCUUGCCUCAAGUUUCCACGAGGACAGUACCACAACCACACAAAAGGCCUUACUUCAACGUGGAGCUUUCACCUCGGGAGUGGAAUCUGCAUUGUUACUCAUUAUGAUGGUCACAGUGGAAGCAAAAAUUUCUUCAAGACCUGUAAUAUAUGUUUCAAGACAUGU